rnacentral:rRNA from 1 species
CGAUAUAGCUCGGAACCGGGAAUAUCUCGAUGUGGUGUCUCGCAUCAAAGCUUGCUGCCUUGGAGCGGGAAUGUCCUAUCAGGUUGUUGGUGAGGUAACGGCUCACCAAGCCAAAGACGGGUAGNGGGUGUGAGAGCACGACCCGCCGCAUCGGGACUGAGACACUGCCCGGACUCCUACGGGAGGCUGCAGUAACGAAUCUUCCGCAAUGCACGAAAGUGUGACGGGGCAAUGCCGCGUGUGGGAUGAAGCCUUCGGGGUGUAAACCACUGUCAGGGUUCAGGAAACAGAUGACCAGACCCAAAGGAAGG